rnacentral:rRNA from 1 species
AACGAACGCUGGCGGCAUGCCUAACACAUGCAAGUCGAGCGAGACCUUCGGGUCUAGUGGCGCACGGGUGCGUAACACGUGGGAAUCUGCCCUUCGGUUCGGAAUAACAGUUAGAAAUGACUGCUAAUACCGGAUAAUGACGUAAGUCCAAAGAUUUAUCGCCGAAGGAUGAGCCCGCGUAGGAUUAGGUAGUUGGUGGGGUAAUGGCCUACCAAGCCGACGAUCCUUAGCUGGUCUGAGAGGAUGAUCAGCCACACUGGGACUGAGACACGGCCCAGACUCCUACGGGAGGCAGCAGUGGGGAAUAUUGGACAAUGGGCGAAAGCCUGAUCCAGCAAUGCCGCGUGAGUGAUGAAGGCCUUAGGGUUGUAAAGCUCUUUUACCCGGGAUGAUAAUGACAGUACCGGGAGAAUAAGCUCCGGCUAACUCCGUGCCAGCAGCCGCCGUAACAC